rnacentral:rRNA from 1 species
GACGAACGCUGGCGGCGUGCUUAACACAUGCGAGUCGAACGGAAAGGCCCUGCUUUUGUGGGGUGCUCGAGUGGCGAACGGGUGAGUAACACGUGAGUAACCUGCCCUUGACUUUGGGAUAACUUCAGGAAACUGGGGCUAAUACCGGAUAGGAGCUCCUGCUGCAUGGUGGGGGUUGGAAAGUUUCGGCGGUUGGGGAUGGACUCGCGGCUUAUCAGCUUGUUGGUGGGGUAGUGGCUUACCAAGGCUUUGACGGGUAGCCGGCCUGAGAGGGUGACCGGCCACAUUGGGACUGAGAUACGGCCCAGACUCCUACGUGAGGCAGCAGUGGGGAAUAUUGCACAAUGGGCGGAAGCCUGAUGCAGCAACGCCGCGUGCGGGAUGACGGCCUUCGGGUUGUAAACCGCUUUCGCCUGUGACGAAGCGUGAGUGACGGUAAUGGGUAAAGAAGCACCGGCUAACUACGUG